AGACUGAGGAGGGAAGGAACUGCUUAAGGUCCAAAGAUACCAGCUCAUCAGUGAAGCAUGGUGGAGGUAGUAUCAUGACCUCAUCAGUGAAGCAUGGUGGAGGUAGUAUCAUGACCUCAUCAGUGAAGCAUGGUGGAGGUAGUAUCAUGGCCUCAUCAGUGAAGCAUGGUGGAGGUAGUAUCAUGACCUCAUCAGUGAAGCAUGGUGGAGGUAGUAUCAUGACCUCAUCAGUGAAGCAUGGUGGAGGUAGUAUCAUGACCUCAUCAGUGAAGCAUGGUGGAGGUAGUAUCAUGACCUCAUCAGUGAAGCAUGGUGGAGGUAGUAUCAUGACCUCAUCAGUGAAGCAUGGUGGAGGUAGUAUCAUGGUGUGGCCCUGUAUGGCUGCCAGUAGAACUGCUUC